rnacentral:sRNA from 1 species
UGACUAGUGGCAAAAUCAACAAUAUCUCC